GUCAUUUAUUUUCAUCUUUUGUCAUGAUGUCUGAAAAAUUGUUUACAAAUCUUUUUAUCUCAUGAUAUGAAUGAUCCCAUGUGGUUAACUUCUAAGUAAGAUGUCAUGAUAGCUAGGAAAUACAUACAAAUGGGUUAUUAAUUUUCAAUGAAACUUAUCAAUUCAUAAGGAUUUUCACAUAAAUCAUACUUGAAUGAAAGGUGGGUUUUAAAGCCAAGCUGGACGUCUUUAUCCAAAUGUAUAAUUAUAACAUUUUUAUCCAUGGCCAGUAGAUGUUCAAUAAAAUAUCAUAUGACAAUGUAUACCAUAGCCAAUAGAUGUUCAAUACAAAAUCAUAUGACAAUGUAUACCAUAGCCAAUAGAUGUUCAAUAAAAAAUCAUAUGACAAUGUAUACCGUGGCCAAUAGAUGUUCAAAGAAAUAUUGUUUUAAUCAAAUAAUUCAGAUACUCCUAUAUUUUAAUGAUAUUAAUGCUUUGUUUACAUUAUUUACUAAUAAUCAUGAUAACAUUAUACUGUGGAUUCAUUUAUUUUAGUGAGUUUCAAAUUUCCUGGAUUGAGGAAUACUUUUGUUUUCGUGGAAAAGUUGUAAUUCAUUGAAGAUUUCAAUUUGUGGUUCUCUUGUACUCACGAAAUCCAUGAAAAUUGAUAUCCAACGAAUAAUAAUGAAUCCAUAGUAAUUGAAAAUUAAGUGCCAGUCUGUCUAAGAAUCAGGUAGUGGUGAAAACAUGACCAAAAAAGAACCCACCCAAUUUGACAUUGAUGUCAGUUCAUAAUAUGUAGUUAUGCACAAAAAUAACAUUCAUUUCCAUUUUCACUUCUGGUAAUAGAAGAUACAAUUUGGUUGAAAUGCACUAGAAAUUAACGAAUAAGGGGAGAUAACUCUUUAAUUUGCUAUCAUUCUAACCAAUUUUCUUACCAAGUUAUUUUGAUAUUACCAGACACACACAAACGAAAGAGUAAUACUUUUUAACUCAGGAUGAUGGUUAGUAUUAAAUAGCAUGAUAAGCUCGGUGGUUUUUUUCUAAUCAUGUUUUAGUUUUUACCUAAAUUGCCUGAUUUUUACAAAGACUGGCA
rnacentral:lncRNA from 1 species